GUGAGGAAUAUUGCGCAAUGGAGUCAACUCUGACGCAGCCAUGCCGCGUGCAGGAAGAAGGCGCUACGCGUUGUAAACUGCUUUUAACCGGGAAGAAACCCCAGGACGUGUCCUGGGUUGACGGUACCGGAGGAAUAAGCACCGGCUAACUUCGUGCCAGCAGCCGCGGUAAUACGAAGGGUGCAAGCGUUAUCCGGAUUCAUUGGGUUUAAAGGGUGCGUAGGCGGAGCGUUAAGUCAGUGGUGAAAUCCUGCAGCUUAACUGUAGACUUGCCAUUGAUACUGGCGCUCUUGAGUGCGCUUGAAGUGGGCGGAAUGUGCCGUGUAGCGGUGAAAUGCUUAGAUAUGGCACAGAACACCAAUUGCGAAGGCAGCUCACUAAGGCGAUACUGACGCUGAGGCACGAAAGCGUGGGGAUCGAACAGGAUUAGAAACCCCGGUAGUCC
rnacentral:rRNA from 1 species